UAGGGAAUCUUCGGCAAUGGACGAAAGUCUGACCGAGCAACGCCGCGUGAGUGAAGAAGGUUUUCGGAUCGUAAAACUCUGUUGUUAGAGAAGAACAAGGACGUUAGUAACUGAACGUCCCCUGACGGUAUCUAACCAGAAAGCCACGGCUAACUACGUGCCAGCAGCCGCGGUAAUACGUAGGUGGCAAGCGUUGUCCGGAUUUAUUGGGCGUAAAGCGAGCGCAGGCGGUUUCUUAAGUCUGAUGUGAAAGCCCCCGGCUCAACCGGGGAGGGUCAUUGGAAACUGGGAGGCUUGAGUGCAGAAGCGGAGAGUGGAAUUCCAUGUGUAGCGGUGAGAUGCGUAGAUAUAUGGAGGAACACCAGUGGCGAAGGCGGCUCUCUGGUCUGUAACUGACGCUGAGGCUCGAAAGCGUGGGGAGCAAACAGG
rnacentral:rRNA from 1 species